GUGGGGAAUUUUGGACAAUGGGCGAAAGCCUGAUCCAGCAAUGCCGCGUGCAGGAUGAAGGCCCUCGGGUUGUAAACUGCUUUUGUACGGAACGAAAAGACUCUCUCUAAUAAAGAGGGUUGAUGACGGUACCGUAAGAAUAAGCACCGGCUAACUACGUGCCAGCAGCCGCGGUAAUACGUAGGGUGCGAGCGUUAAUCGGAAUUACUGGGCGUAAAGCGUGCGCAGGCGGUUAUGUAAGACAGAGGUGAAAUCCCCGGGCUCAACCUGGGAACGGCCUUUGUGACUGCAUGGCUAGAGUGCGGCAGAGGGGGAUGGAAUUCCGCGUGUAGCAGUGAAAUGCGUAGAUAUGCGGGGGAACACCGAUGGCGAAGGCAAUCCCCUGGGCCUGCACUGACGCUCAUGCACGAAAGCGUGGGGAGCAAACAGGAUUAGAAACCCUUGUAGUCC
rnacentral:rRNA from 1 species